GAUGAACGCUGGCGGCGUGCCUAAUACAUGCAAGUCGAGCGAACGGACGAGAAGCUUGCUUCUCUGAUGUUAGCGGCGGACGGGUGAGUAACACGUGGAUAACCUACCUAUAAGACUGGGAUAACUUCGGGAAACCGGAGCUAAUACCGGAUAAUAUUUUGAACCGCAUGGUUCAAAAGUGAAAGACGGUCUUGCUGUCACUUAUAGAUGGAUCCGCGCUGCAUUAGCUAGUUGGUAAGGUAACGGCUUACCAAGGCAACGAUGCAUGGCCGACCUGAGAGGGUGAUCGGCCACACUGAAACUGAGACACGGUCCAGACUCCUACGGGAGGCAGCAGUAGGGAAUCUUCCGCAAUGGGCGAAAGCCUGACGGAGCAACGCCGAGUGAGUGAUGAAGGUCUUCGGAUCGUAAAACUCUGUUAUUAGGGAAGAACAUAUGUGUAAGUAACUGUGCACAUCUUGACGGUACCUAAUCAGAAAGCCACGGCUAACUACGUG
rnacentral:rRNA from 1 species